UACGGAGGGUGCGAGCGUUAAUCGGAAUAACUGGGCGUAAAGGGCACGCAGGCGGGCUUUUAAGUGAGAUGUGAAAUCCCCGGGCUUAACCUGGGAAUAGCAUUUGAGACUGGGAGUCUAGAGUCCUUUAGGGAGGGGCAGAAUUCCACGUGUAGCGGUGAAAUGCGUAGAGAUGUGGAGGAAUACCGAAGGCGAAGGCAGCUCCCUGGGCAGGUACUGACGCUCAGGUGCGAAAGCGUGGGGAGCAAACAGG
rnacentral:rRNA from 1 species